UACAGAGGGGGCAAACGUUGUUCGGAAUUACUGGGCGUAAAGGGCGCGUAGGCGGCCCGCUAAGUCGAACGUGAAAUCCCCGAGCUCAACUCGGGAACUGCGUCCGAUACUGGCGGGCUUGAAUCCGGGAGAGGGAUGCGGAAUUCCAGGUGUAGCGGUGAAAUGCGUAGAUAUCUGGAGGAACACCGGUGGCGAAGGCGGCAUCCUGGACCGGCAUUGACGCUGAGGCGCGAAAGCUAGGGGAGCAAACGGG
rnacentral:rRNA from 1 species